AACCUAACAAUUUUUGAUGAAGUUCUUUCUCACACUAUCGAAUCAUCCACAACCACAACUCUCUUUCCCUCCAACCACAACCUUACAGGAGAGACUCGAGAGAGCUUAAGCUUGACACCAAAGUCCCUAAUUUUCUGGGAAGGCUCAAUGAAAGUUCUCCCAACAUAAUGUGACCUUAUCAACCCUUGUUGAAAUGGCACCCUGGCUUUCGCAGCGUACUCAAGUGCAGCCACCACUCCAGAAUCUGGUACUGCAAUCACAACUUCACACUCAACAGGAGCCUCGGUAGCAAGUACUUCCCCAAAAUGAUACCUCGACUCAUAAACAGACCUACCAAAAACAACAGAAUUGGGCAAAGCAAAAUAAAUAUGCUCAAAGAUGCACUGCUUAGGUUCAGGGUGAGGCAUCAAACAAAGUGAUUGAACCCCAUCUUUAUCCACCAUCAAAACUUCACCGGGAUAUACCUCUCUCUCUCUCUCUCUCUCGUAAGUGGCCUCAAUCAAAUAGUGCACAAGUCUCUGACGCAAAAACCAGAGCACUAUUACUCCUCCUACCCAUCACCAACGGCAUAAACCCAUACGGGUCACGGACUGCAACAAACUUAUCCUCAGUAACAAACACCAUUGAAUAAGCACCCUCAAGCUUCUCACAAACAUCCACAAUCCUCAAAAAGAACGGCCUAGCUUUCGAUAUCGGAAUCAAAUGGAGAACAACCACAGUAUCAGAACUAGUAUUAAAAAUGGACCCAUUAUCUUCAAGCUUAGCCCUCAAAGUGUUAUAAUUAACUAAUGUGGAACACCAACAGAACCAAACCUGUACCCAGCAACAAAAGGCUGCACAUUCUUAAGCAUAGAACUACCCGCAGUCGAAUAUCUAACAUGACCAAUGGCCAUAUCACCCGGCAAUUGAUCAAGUUUAGACUGAUUAAACACAUCAGGGACUAAACCAACACCAGUAAUAGACUGAAGAACUUUCACAGCAACUAUACCUGCACCUUCUUGGCCGCGAUGCUGCAUCGCGUGUAGCACCAAAUAGCACAAACGGGAGGCCUCUGGGUCACCAUAGAUGCCCACAACACCACACUCCUCACGGGGCUUAUCGUCGUCGUCAUCAUCAAAACUGCCAAAACCGUCAUCUGGGUAUUCUUUAUUUGUGGUGAAAAACUCAGAGAUGGGGUUUUUUGAUAGAACAGUGAAGUUAUUUUUGUGGAUUAAAGAUUGUUGUUUCUGAGGGAAAAAAGGGUUUUUUUGCAGGGUUUUGGAGAAAAGAGAAACAUGGGUUUUUUGCGACGGCUUAGGGUUAGCAGAGGGAGAUGGGUUUGAGAGAGGGCAGAUAUUGGCGGUGCCUGUGGUUGUGGCUGCCAUUAAUGGCUGAAUUUAUUCUAUUUUAUUUUAUUUUUUGGGUUGCCUUGCUCAAAGAAAAAACAGAGGUGGUGUGUGGAGGGAGACAGUGACGAAGGGUACUUUAAGUCGAGGGGAACUUGUUCUAGGUUUUUUUCUGGAAUUGUGAGGGAAUCUGAUCCUGUGUUUGUGCAUAUGAUUCAAUUACUUAUAGCUGAUACUGUUGUGUCACCACAAAAUCUAAUUGGGAAGCUUCAGCUGUCAAUUUUUUUCCAAGGGUUAAUUAGGUAGAACUUUCAUGUCGUCGAUUUUAUUUGGAGAUUCUAAAAGUAGUUUCCAAAUAAAGAGAUGGACCAAAAUCAACAAUGUGACAAAGAUACUUUAGAUUUUUUUUACUUGUGGGACAUGAAAAUUGAUGCAUGUUCCAAUGCAUUGCUCUAUCAGAAUUGGAAUUAAACUUAGUUUGUAUUCUCCUAUUCCGAAAGCAAAACUUAUAAGUGAUAUUCUAAGAAGAAGAAAUUAAGAACCAUAACAAAUUUGAAGAUUCUAAUUUGCUAGAAAUAUUGCAAUCCAAAACUAAGAAAGUUAAAACCAAUUAUUAGAAGAAAAAAGCAAGACGGAAGCUCCCAGAAUAUUGUUAUGUGUUGUGUGUUUCAGUUUGUAUUUCCCAAUCAAUAAGAAAAAGUAAGUACACAUGUUACAAAACUUUAAUAAAAAAGAUUGGAGGUGACAAAAUCGUCAAUCUUCUAAUUAACUUUCUCUCCUUUCAAAUUUCCUGAGUUUGGUAGAGACUGCUUAAGUGGUGUAUCUGUUAUAAACAGGCAAAACUAUGUUGCAACAGUGGUAUGGUACCACUGUUGCAACCAGCCAUUGGAUGCAUAGUUGUACAGUUACAUUAGCAAGAUCUAAUGGUUGAAAGCAACAAUGGUACUGUACUACUGUUGCAACAUAGCUGGACCCAUUAUAAACACCUGAAGUCAAAGUUAAUGUUUUAAUUGUUAAGAAAAGUUAGAAGAAGAAAUUUUUGUAUAAGAGAAUUGGGUUUAAAUUUUAGAAUUCUUUGGGAGGAAAUGAGUCUAAAUUCCAAUAAUAUAAUUCAGCACUAUUUAUAUAUAUCAUUAGUUGGGUGAAAAAUUAAUUUCCCUCCUUUGAUGUGAUUUUCAUCAUUUAUUUUCAUAUGAUGGUAAUUUUUUGUUUAGAGUGAAGUUAUUGGCACCCUUUCAUUAUCCUUAUAAAAUCCUACUUCAAAUAAAAUUACACUUAAAGACAAUAGAAUUAAAUAAAAUAGUUUUUUUUUCAAACAAAUUACUCACAUUCAUAAUUUUUUUUCUUCUAAUUUUCUACAGGUUGCUUUGUAUCUAACUAAAAUCAAUUGUACAAAUUUAGAAUAAUUUAUUAUUCUUUUUAAAUUUCUUAUUGAUUAAAUAUUUGUGUGCUUAAGAUAGUUUUAAAAUUAUAAGAUAAUAUAUAUAUAAUUUAAGCCAAUGAUUAACAUUAAAAAAUUUAUCUCUCAUAAAAGUUUUUAAUUUGUGCGUAGGGUAAUAAUAAAAUUGCAAAAGAAAUGAAAAAUAGCAUAGCACUAUUUUGAGUUUAAACAAUAAAAAAUUAAAUGAAAAAUUAGAAGUGUAUUUAAAAAAAGGAUAUUUUUGAAAAUAAAUAUAAUUUAAAACAAAAAAAAAAAAGAGUUUCAUGAGGGGUGCAAUAGUUCAACUCUUUUGUUUAUAAGUUUUAAGAUGUUGGUAUCCGUAGCUUAGCUUUUCCCUAAUUAUUAUAUUAAAAUGUAACAACAAUGAUGAUAAACCCUAAUUUCAUGGAGGUCAAAGAUUUUGGUCAUGCCGCAUUAAUUAGUUCGGUCAUACUUUCUACAAAUUUAUUUACAUUUAAUAAUUUGACCAAGACUAGGUAAGGCGCCGCUUGGAGUCAUAGAAUUUUAUAUGUCAAAAGUGCGUUUCACUUCAAUUAAGCCAUAAAUGUCGUUUAAUAUGCUCAUUUUGUAUUUUUUUUUUAAAAAGUUUUAUUAGUUUUUUGGUUUUUAAAAAUAUCAUUUAUUGGAGUUGCUAAAGUUGGUGGCGAAAUUGAUGGAAUUCUAGUAUCUCAUAAGGUAUCUCAUGAUUUAGUGCUAGCUUCCAAUCAACGUAAGAACAAAGGCAAAAACGAAAGUAAUGUUGGGCUUACAAAUGAGGACGAGGAGGAAAUAGAAAUGGGCUUGGUUAUUUCCGAUGCUAAAAGGCGAAGGUCUGAAAUUGGGCUGGAGGAAAAUGUGGAUCCUCAAAGUGGCACAUCUACUAUUAUGGAAAUGGUUAUGGUACCAAAAAAGGGGUUAGCGGUGGGUCCUGUCGAUCAGGCCCACUGCUCCCAAUGAGUACCCUUAGCUGGAACUGUCGUGGGCUAGGCCACCCACGGACAGUUCAGGUUCUGACAGAGUUGGUCAAAUCUAGAAAACCUUCUUUUAUUUUUUUAAUGGAAAUUCUUUGUUACAGACAUCAAUUGGAGCAUCUUAAACAAAAAUUAGGCUUUGAAAAUUUAUUUGUGGUGGAUCGAUUGGGCCGUAGUUGUGGGUUGGCAUUACUUUGGAAAGCCAAGUUUAAUGUUAGACUUUUAAAGUUUGCAAAAAAUUUCAUUGAUAUAGCUGUGAGUGAAACGGGUUCGGAUAUGGGUGAAUGACGGUUGACUGGUUAUUAUGGGUAUCCGGAAUUUGCUCGAAGACGAGAAUCUUGGAAUCUCCUCCGCCAUCUUGCUAACAGCUCCUCUCUUCCUUGGGUUUGCUUAGGGGACUUCAAUGAUCUUCUCUCCAGUGCUGAGAAACGAGGGAAGCGAGCUCACCCCAGUUGGAAGUUUAAUGGGUUUCGUGAGGCUGUGUCUGAUGCUGGUUUGGUGGACUUGGGAAUGGAGGGAUACCAAUUCACUUGGGAGAGGUCCCGGGGUACAAAUGCGUGGGUUGAUGAGUGAUGGGUGUCGAAGCCAGCAAAAAUAAAUACCUACUCUAAAUAAAUUGUGUAUAGUAAUUGAGCAGGGUCGUGUUCACAGAGAUCGGUAAUUAUUUAAAUCCUUUUGAAACGUAAAACGUAAAAUGGGGGAAUUGUUGAUAAUAAUAAAAAUCAAAUUAAAAUAACAAGAAUGCAAAUUAAAGUUGUAAUUCAAAUUAGAGAAAGCUCUGGUUGAAGGAAUUAACUCAGCUUGAUUCGACUACUGAUCAUUGAUUCAAAUAUAGAUUAUUAUUACUUAAAAAUAGACUGGUUAUAGCUAUUGAGACCCUCUAAUAGCCAAUCUCUCCUUAACUAGUCGAUAACCAAGGUACAAUCGUUGGUUAUUUCCCUAAUCAAUAGACAACCCUAGAUACGAUCAUAGGAUUUAAUCAAUUGACAGCCUGAAAAACCAGAGAGACCCAAAUCCUAAUAAACACAUCUGAUGAUUCAUUUAAAUUAGAUUGUUUAUUCUCACAACACAACUCUCUGCUAUGUUAUUUGUCACAAACAUUAAAUUCUUCAUACGAUGAAUCCUUUAAUUGACAAUAGAUUAAGUUGAUAAUUAAAUAGUGGCCAAUUACCUAAUUAACAAACUUGAUCAUGAAAAUAAUACAGAGAAUAAACAAAUACCCAAAAAGCAAUAAAACAAUUAAAGCACAAGAAAGAUCUCACAGUAGUGAUGAAUCAAAGCUUCAUUAUCCUUCAACCAGAAAAAUAAGUUUAGUUCUUCAUAGAGAGAAGAGAAAAAUUAAAAUCUAGGGUUUCUUUCUUUUCCUCCAAUCUAAAAUCCCCUAUUUUUCACAAUAGAUUCCUCCCUUAAAUACUCUCUCUCUCUUCUCCUCUAGAAUUCUAUUUAAAAUAAAAUACUAAUAUCUGAAAUAUUAAAUUCGUAAUUACAAAAAUAACCAAAAAUACAAAACACGUUAAACUAAAAACUGCAGGUCCGCAGUUAACAGCACGCACCCACGCCUUAUCAAUAAAGUUCUUCUGAUGCUCAUAAUUUCUCUAAGAGAACAAUCAUCCUUAAACAUCAUCUUAUAGCUCAAUUUUAUCACCAAUCAAUAGAAUUGCACCUACAAAAGUAAAACACAAGUAAAUUACUAUUAUUAAGUGCAAAACAUCGAUAUUAAGGGAAGUAAACAAUGCAAAACUAGUGCAUAAAUUGCACUCUAACAAAUUCCCCCACACCAAGAUGAUGCUUGUCCUCAAGCAUAUAACUCAAGAUUAUUCCCAAAUCUCCACUCAAUUCUCAUCUCAACUCAUCCAAAAAUAAUUUUAAGCAAGCAUACCUCAAGAAAUUAAGUCGAUCAACAUUCGAGAGACAAGGAUUUUAAAGCAUAGAAUUUCAUAAGAUAGAAUAAGAACAUUCAACCACCAAGAAGAUCCAUUCAAAAUUCAAGUGCAACAAGAUUUAAUAGCCCUCUCAAUAACUUCACUCCAUGCACUCAAAGUGUUUAGAGUGUCAUUUAUCCACUCAAAUCAAAUCAAAGAAUGCUAUUACCAUAAGCUUGCUCAUAUAUCACAUCUCAAUCCACAAAACAUGAAUAAAAUGCAAAAAUCUAAGGGUCUUAAAAGGGUUGUAAUGAGGUUAAAUGGGUGAAAUGAAAAAGAAAGGUCUACGAAGGAAAAAGAGAUCAAAACGAGAAGAAUGAACUCAUUGAAUGAACUUAUGAUAUCAAAAUGCUUAUUUCUACUCAAGUCACCAAGAAUGUAAACAUUUUUUUUCUUUUUUUUAAUUUUUCUUUUUCUUCUUUUUCUUCUUUUUUUUUCUUUUUUUUCUUUUUUUUUUGUUUUUGAAUCAAACAAAAGAAACAAACCUUGCACAAUUUAAUUCAAGCAUAAUGCUUGUUGAUCUAAUUGAGAAACUUUAAUACAAGGUAGAAAAAGCAACAAAAUAUAUUCACACAAUGAGUCCAAAAAUCUCCUUAAAUCGAGGCUCAAAAGAAGAAAAAUGGUUAAGUCGACGGAGAGAAUUAGAUGGGUAAUGGUUAAGGCUCAAACAAAGGUAGCAAAUAAAGGUCUUCGGGUAGAGAAAAAAAAAUGCAAGAAUAGAGAAAUGGAAUAUGGUUUGCCCUUAUCAUUUUAAUGCAUAAAAUCCCGUAAUGUGGCUUCAACAUGCAUAACAAAGCAAGUUCUAGAAUAAACAAACUAGGAUUGAUAUUCACAUAACAAAAAAAUAAUUAGAGCAAAGUGGUUGCUCAUAGGCUCAAAUCCUUACAAAGUUGAUAAAUUUGCCAUCAAAUCAUGUACACUCUUCAAAUGAAUCAACCAUCAAUAGUGGUGUAGAAUGAGAAGAAGGUAUGAGUGAGAUAUAAAAGGAAAGGUAAAAAAAAAAAUGUGAGUAAUGAAAGAGUAUGAUAGAAAGAAAAAAAAAUAGAUGUAAAUAAUUUGAGAUAGAUGGGAAAAGAGUAGUGAGAAAGAAAAGAAAAGAAAAUAAUAAUAUAUGAAGCAUACUAACUCCAAAAUCAUUUAAGGAUGAGUAGAGUGAAAAUACUACUUCCAGACAUCAAUAAUGCAAAAAUCCCUCCCCCACACCAAGAACUUACAUUGUCCCCAAUUUAAGAUAAUCAAAGCUCACAUAAAAAUUAAAACGUAAGGAUAAAAGUUUAAGGGCAAAAAGAAACUUCCCUGAAUUGUGAGCUUUGAUCCACAUAACGUUUAUGGGCUUGGCGGAAAUGGUGGGGUAAAUCCCACACUCUUAAAGUAUGCGGCCAAAUUCUGCUCCAUCUUGUUCAGCUUGUGCUCCAUUUUCUCUAACUGAAUGCUCAAAGUGAAAUAUAAGUGUGCAACCCAAGAGGGGGGGUGAAUUGGAAAUUUAAAAAUUAACCUAGCAAAUCCACACAACAAGCAAUCUAAUGCCUUAAUAAAAAUUGAAAGCAAUAAGUUUAAUAAAGGCACAAUAAUUAAAGAGUAAGGAAGAAGAGAAAUAAACACACGAAUUUUUACGUGGUUCGGCAAUCCCCGCCUACGUCCACGCCUCCAAGCGAUCCAAGCUUGAGGAUUCCACUAUCCAAGCCUUUCCAAGGCUUCAACGAUUACAAUUGACUUCGAGGUGUCAAUAAACCUUUACAACAAAGAGAUUAUCUCCCAAUCUCUUCACUCAAGUGUCUCACACACUCAAACUCUUACAAUUGAGAUGAAUAAAUGAAGGUUACAAUGAAACUCACUCAAUGAGUAGAUAUUCAAAAAUGAAGAACAAUUAAAGACUCAAUGUUUGUAUUUCACAAGUUUGAAGGCUCAAGAUAUCACGUGUGCUUUUUGUUCUUGCUUGUUGGAGAGCUUGAAAAUGAGUUGGAUUUGAGUUUUUAUAGUUUGAGCUCGAAAACUAGCCGUUACUCACAUUUUGGUCGUAACCGGAUUACCGGUUAUGGACAUCCGAAAUUCCGCUUAAUGUUACCGUUACAGCCACAAAUUUGAAUUUCUGAACAUCCGGAUUUCCGCUUUGUCACAUCCGGAUUUCCGCUUACGCUCAGUAGUUUACUGCCCAAUAACCGGAUUUCCGUUUGUCAGGAUCCGGAAUUCCGCUUUUAAUUCGGAUAGAUUUUGCCUCGAAUCCGGACUUCCGUUUAUCAGAAUUCGGAUUUUCGCUUGCUACAGUAACUGCUACAGUGAAUAUUUUUCCAAAUUUACAGUUUGACCCCAAAACUUUAUAAAACUAUAAUGUGGCCUAAAACGUUAUGAAAGUUUGCAAAAAGGUCCAAUUUCAGAACUUUAGAAUAAUGCUUUGUCAAUCCCACAACUUUCUGAAAUUAUGACUUUGCCCAAACUUUGUGAAAUUAUAGAAUGGCCCAAAAACAUUUAAAUAGUUUCAAAUAGGUCCAAAUCCGAAAUUUAAAAUACUAUCAAAGAUUUUAAAAAUACUUUCAUUUUAGUCCAAAAUGCUUUAAUUCCAUAACAUCGUUUUCUUAUUAUAAAAGCACAAUUCAUAAAUCUUUGCUUAAUAAAUACAUGUGGUUUGUUAUCAUCAAAAUCAAUAUUUAGCCAUAUAGGCUAACACAAAGGUGGUGCGGAUGUAGAAGGAAUAGUUGGCGGGGCAGCAGUGUCGUCGUCAAACUCAUCAUCAGAGGUAGCACCACUCCUAGCAUAAAGCUUCUUCGGAAGUUGAGUGGGUCCUGGUUCCGUAAAUUGAAAUCUCCCCUCCUUGAAUUCGACCACACCUGUUCUUUCAAACACAGACAUAUCCAAAAAUUCCUUUUUGCAAGCAGGAUGCAAAUCAUUAUUGUCAGGAUCAAGCACACAUAGGUUUAUAGCUAACAUAGUAAUGUAUGGACCAAGAAAUAAAGUCCUAUACCGUUUAAGCACACUUUGAAAUUGAUCCGCUAACCAAAAACCUAAAUUAGGCCUCACAUCAUGUAACAUGCACCAGAUAAAAUAAAAUUCAGUUUUAGAGAAAAUUCAUGAGUGAUCUUUCUUGCCUAAAAAAUUAUAUGCUAAGAAUCGAUGCACGCAUUUCAAAACAGGAUCACGUAAGAAAGAACUCUUUGAUUUACUCGGGUCAUAGGCAUUGUGAUCAACAGAUAAAUUACGCCAAAGACCAUAAGGCUCAAAAUUUUCGCUAAAGUCACAAGUUGUUCCUAAAUAUUCAUCACUAGUAGAAUAAUCAUCAUCAAUGAAUCCUAAAGCUAGGUUAAAAUCCGUGAUAGAGUGUGAAAAAUUUCGUCCCAUUAACCUAAACUUAAUGACAUCUGGAGUAUGCAAAGUAAAAUUAUUCGGCAUAGUAAAUUAAAAAGUAGCAUAAAACUCCCUAAUCAACUCAACAUAACCCAAACAAUCAACAUCAACAAACUUACGCAACCCAAUCUUAUCUAUCAAAGAAUCAAAAUUAUCUUUAACAUUCAAUUUUUCAAGAGUAGGGUAAUGAAUAUACUUAGCUGGAAGUAUUUUGCGCGUGGAAAUAUCUUUGUACCUCUCUUUCUCUUGUUGAGUCGCGAAUGCGAGGCACCCUCCGAGAUUGGAUUCCGCAAGUGGCAAAACACUCAUGCCUUUUCCGUGCUUUGAUCUUUGUCUCACGGCUUGGCGUGAAUUUGAAAUUGUGUUCCAUGGAACCGUAGUGGGAGCGGCAAUCUUAUAUUUCUUUGCGAAAGGAAGAAAAUAAAUUAUUUAUAACCUCGGAAUCAUGUGCGUCAUCAGAGUUGUCUGUCUGCUCCUGGUGGUCAUCAACAGCCACCUCAUCCUCAGAAGUGUCAUGACGCUGCUCUGGUGUUGGGUUUGGUAUGUCGUCAUGCUCGUUUGAUUGCCUUGUAAUGGACGGCAUCGCGUUAAUUGAUGGUUGGUGCUGUAUAAAGUAGCAUUUAAAAUUAGUAAAUGAAAAAUAAAAAAUUUCGAUUAAAUAAAUAAUAGUACUUAUAGGAUACCGACCUUAUGAACCCAGUCUGGAAUGUGUGGCAUGUAAUCCUUUACAGUGAGCCAAUAUUUUAUGCUACUCUCCUUUGUAUUCGGCUCAAGGGUUUGUAAAACGUCCCCCUAUCAUAAAUUCAAUCCAAAAUUUUAAGUAAGUAUAUAUAACUUAAAUUUAGUAACGUUAAAAAAAUAACUAAUACAUAUUACUUACAAGACGAGAUUCGUCGUUGAAGAACGAAUAAACCUCAGCAAAGUUGAUUCUCGAAGACCCCAUGGGCUUCCAUUGCACGAUGCGGGGAAUCUUCUUCUUCGUUUUCACGACCCAUGCUGACGGCAAACCUCCGAUCGCUUUGUAAAUCCAAGCCUGCAACAACCAAAGUGAAAAACCUAUUAAAACAACUAUCAAAUAUUUAAUACUAUAAAACUUAUUAAUAAACAAAAAAACAACGCACCUGAACCCCGGACAUAUAGCCGUAAAGAUUGUACUUUUCAAUGUUAUGAUCUAGGUUUUUCAACCGAGUCGUCUUAAAUUUCUCGUCUUUCUCGAACAGUGCAUUGUCAAGACUCUCGUAUAUCAUUUCCCACGACAAAAGACCCCAUGGAUGCUUUCGGAAGUACUCUAUAUCAUCUACUUCGUUAAGCGAUGAGAAAUUGAUUUGACAGUAAUUUUUUCUUGCAUUUAGAACUAUGUCCGCAAAAUAAAAUAGUGCAAUCUUUAAUGCGUCAAUAUCGUCCAUUUCCUCGAAUUUCAACUUCUUAAAUAAUGCAUCGAAUUCCUUAAGAUUGAUCUUGCGAUGCACACCACCAAAAUACGUAUUCCGUAGCCUAUGCACCGUUUUGUUAUUUCUUAGUUCGGUAUCUACACCAUAUGAAAGUCCAAUAACCAGGCACCAUUCUACAAUUGACAAGCGAAUCAAAUGCUCACCAAUUUGAAACCAUAACUGAUCCUCACGGCUAUCUUCUUCAUGGGCCACUUGCCUCAGUAAAAAAUUGUGCAAAAUUACCCCACUAAAUGAAAAGUUUCGACACUCCAAGAAAUGCCUAAAUAUGUCCUUCUUGAACAGAUUCAAUUGCCGCUUUGUUAAUUUUUUUUCGGUGGCUUUUACGACCGAAGAUAAAUUACACAUGCUCGAAAUUCGACCCGGAAAGUGAUCGGCGUAACGAAAAUACAUCCUGCCUACUUCGAUUUCUGAUGAUUCUGAUUUUUCCAUGUAUCGGUAAUAUUUAUAACAUUAUUACAUUGCAUUUACAACAAAAAUAAAAUAAAUUGACUUGAUGGAAAAAAAAAUUAAACCCACUAUAAUUUGGUGCGACAGCACAGCAAGCGCGUGCGCGCUGUUGCCCAGCGACGGUUCUACACCAUAUGUGCAGCACCAUUCAACCCAAAACAAGUGAAAGAACAAAUCACUCCCAAAACAACAACAACCACCACAAACACCACCACCACCACCACCAUUAUUCUCAAACUACAACCACUAUUAUUCUAAAAUUUCAUUUUAAAUUAAUGAAAUAUAAAUAAAAUGGCUAACUUAGGUUUUGUUGAAGGCUGUAGAUGGUAAAUUGGACGCCGAUAAUAGAUGGAGCAGCCGCCGACGAGGGCUGAUGUUGCCGCCGACUAUAGGUGUUUCUUCGGUUUGGGAGAGAUGAGUGAAAGAGAGAUUAUUGGGGGAGAGAUGUGAGAGGGGUAUUUUGGUCUCAAAGGUUUUUUUGUGGGUAAUGUUGAUAGAAAUUAGUUUGGGGGGUUAAGAUGGAAAAACAAAAACUUUUAUAGUUAUUGGUGUAAAUUUCCCAUUGUAUGUAAUACUUUAGAUUCAGGUAAUGUAGAUUGUGUAUACAACUUUCUAAUAUUCUGUAGAUCUCAAUAUAAAUACUUGUAAUCAACAAAUACAAUAAUAAGAGUCAUCAUUCUUCAUUUUCUCUUUGUUUCUCUCAUAUUUUCUCUUCAUCCAAACACAAUAUUCUCAGUUCUUGACUUGGUAUCAGAGUUGCAGUUUAAUUGUCAUGGCUUCCUUCCUUAAGCACAAAUUAAAAAAAAAUCAGUCUCCUUCAUUCUUUACCCUCACAAAUGCGAUCAAACUGGACAGAUCUAACUAUACGAUCUGGAAAUCUUAGAUCCUCUCUUCAGUGCGUGCCAAUGGACUUGAAGGCUUUCUUAAUGGAACUAAAAUUUGUCCAGAUCAGUUACUUACUCAAGAGAUUGAAAGUUAUGGUGUGUUGAAAUUGCAGUUGGUGAAAGCUCAGCUGAUAGAUCUUAGGAGAAUCCAGCCUUUGUUGCUUGGAAAAGGUAGGAUCAAUUGUUAUUAAGUUGGCUCAUGUCCUCCAUCAGUGUUGAGAUACUUAGUCUAGUGGUAAAUUCUGAUUCUUCUCAUAAACUUUGGACUAAUCUUGAAGAAAAAAUUGGAUUAGAAACUAUGGCUAAGAAAGCACACUUAAAAAUGAUGUUAAGCAAUCUCAGAAAGGGAUCAAUGACAAUAACUGAGUAUUUUGCCAAACUUAGAGCUGUAACUAAUAAACUUGCUCUAACUGGUAGCCCUGUUUCUACUCUUGACUUUAUUAUUCAUCUAAUCUCUAGAUUAGGCCAGCCAUACUACCCUGUUGUUUUGUAUAUUGAAGCUAUUGUUUUGUAUAUUGAAGCUAAUAUGAUGAAAAUAUUCGUCAAUGAAGCAUAUUCUAUGCUUUUAACUCAUGAAGCAAGAAUUAAAGCUAAUCAUCCAAGUGCAAAUAAAGAAGCAAAGUUGAAUUAUGCUGUUAACAUAGCUGAGGCUGGACCGAGUACUAAAUAACAAUAAGAAGUCUAGUAAUCAAGCUAAUUACUAUCAGGGCAACCAAGGUAACUGGAAUAGAAAUGCUCAUUGGUGUGGUAACAAUGGAGGAAGAGGUGGCUUUGGCAGAGGUUUUUCAGGGCAAGGAAGGGGUAAUUAGAAUAAUGGUGGUCAUUGGAACAAUGGACCUUGGAGUAGUAGUCGAGGAGGCUAUAAUGGUUCUAAUAUAAACAAUAUGACAUGGUUGCUGGUGAACCUGCAAACAUAACCACAAAAGUAAGAAGGCAUAAUCUUUUUAUAAGAAACUCAAAAAUGUAUUAAUGAUGAAAAUUUUAAAACAGAUAGUGGACCAGCUGUUCACUAAGAAAACAAAAAACUGAAUAUUUGUGCUAUAAAAAGGCACACCCAAUCUCACCCCUAUAAAAGGCUAGAAUCAACUACAAAUUCCUAUCUCAAAACCCCAUCCCAGUUUAGAUGAAUGAAGAAAAAAGAUGAAUCUUGAAACUCCUUAGAAACUGAAGCCCAAAGUGAAGCAAGAAGAUGAACUCUAUCCCAAGCAAGCAAUAUGGCAUAUUUCUCCAUUAAUGGUUCAAAUAAAGUGAAUGGCUUUCUCUGAUGAAUGGGAAAUUGUCAAGAUCAAUAGUCAAACUCACGCAAAGUAAACGGACUUAAUUCUCAGAGGCUACUCAUUCUAAGUCUUAAAGAAAAAUUUUCUAAUUUCUAAAGAUUAUAUGGGGAAAAAUCAUUAUUUUUUAACAUGGAAAAUUUGAUACGGUGUUUAAUGUCUGAUCAAAAUCAUAAUAUGAGUACUAACAAAAACAUCUUUAAUCGGCAUGGUGCGAGUAAAACACCAUCACUUCAUCUUUGAUGGAAAGAUGAUAAUAUAAGGAGAUGGUGAAAUGGUUUUGGUCCAUGGCAGCUUGUAAUCAAAAGAAAACAAAAAACUACACUAUCAUUAAUGAUUACCGAAGGUACAGAAGUAUCAAAAUCGGAAAGCAAACAAUUGCAAAACACAUCAAUGACUGAAGGUUAGGUUCUAAAACUUCCGUAUUUAAUUUUCAGAGCAUGUUAUGUAUUAUUCAGAAAUAUGCUUUCACUUCAGGCACUUGACCAAGACGCAUUAAACAUAAAACGCGGCGUUUUCAUGGACUAGUACAUUCCAUGCUUCGAAAGUUUAUGUUUUAGACUGAUUGGUUUGAUACAUUAUUUGUUUAUUGCGUUUUUCUUGCUUUAAAUAUUAUGUUGGAUUGAUAAGUUUUGUACACAUUUAUAUUGCUCGCAGUAAAUAAUUUAUGACAUUUAAAAAACUAUCAACCGUCUAUCAAAAGAUUUCUACUAUAAAUAUAUAUACACAAAAAACUUUUAAUUUGGUCAAUUUGUUCUCUUAUUUAUUUUUAUUCUAUUUCUCUUUUCCUUCCCUUUCAUUUUAUUAUUUUAUGGUACAAAAUAAAAAAAUAACCUUAAAAUUUAAGGGUAAAAUACUCAUUUUACUAAAAUUCCGUUUAAUAUUAUAAAGCUGUCAAAUGUCAAUGGCAUAGUACACGAGUGAUACAAAUUAAAAACAAUAAAUUGAAAGUUUUUAUGCAUUUUCCUUUUAUUUUUUUUAUAGCCGAUUGAGAUUCCCCUUCAUUUUUUUAAAUUCAAUAGGUUUAGACCGUUUAACAAAUCUUAAAUUAAAAAAACCCGUGGUGUAAUAACAAACUCACAUCAAACCCUGUCCACUGUCAUCCCUAAUUAUAUUUACCACUUCAUACUCACAGUGAUAAUAACUGUGUAUCACAAUUGAUUUUGCAUACGGGUAAAAGUUCCAAGUCCGGAUAUUUAGUUAAUGAAAUUUUAUGAAAAGGGCAUGAAAGAAAAUAAGAAAUUAAAUAAUACAGGAGGUAUUAAUCAUUACAUCUUUAGUUAAUGAAAAUUGAUGAAAAUAUUUCUGCAGACGUGAGCCGUAAUUAUAUUACCGUUAAGAAUGAAGCAGAAGAGUUUCCCCAAACAAGCUAAAACACAGCACUUCAAUUUAAAGAAUUUUUAUAUCACAGUACCAGGGCAAAAAGUUUAAUGCAACAACAUACAUUAAGUUAAUUCCAUAAUCUAUCCCCAAAGAAAGACAAACACAAGCUUAUAAGAUUAAAACUUUGGAAAACAUUAAAGAGUCAGACAAAAUUGUGUAAUCUUCAGAGUUUGGAGCCUAGUUCAUCCAGGAAAGCAAAAGAAAUAAUAAUAAUAAUAAUAAUAAUAAUAGUAGUAGUGGUUUGAUCUCAAAAGGUGGCAUCAAAGUGGUCACUUUGAGGUAUUGGAAGCAAUUACGUCUUCAACUUUGUCCUGAUUUCGAAGUCCCUUAACCCAUCCGCCAUCAAUGGAUUGAAUGCUUCCAUUCAACCCAUCAUCAACAAAAUCACCAACCCGUUUCACCUUCAUCUCCUUGGGCUUAACAGGGUACUUUCCACAGAAGCAAGGAAAACAAAAAUUCUGAGAAUCAUCGCCUAACAACUAGUUCAAGCUGUAAAUCGGCAGAAAAGCAAGCGAAUCACACCCAAUAAACUCGCUGAUUUCCUCAACGCUCAUCCUGUUGGAAAUCAACUCCUAAGUACUUGUCUGCUCUGUAGUAACAAGAAGCUAUGAUUGGUGGGCUUGCAAUUCUCAUGUGAACCUCUUUAGCUCCAGCCUCCUUAAGCAACCUAACAAUUUUUGAUGAAGUUGUUUCUCACACUAUCGAAUCAUCCACAACCACAACUCUCUUUCCCUCCAACCACAACCUUACAGGAGAGAGCUUAAGCUUGACACCAAAGUCCCUAAUUUUCUGGGAAGGCUCAAUGAAAGUUCUCCCAACAUCAUGUGACCUUAUCAACCCUUGUUGAAAUGGCACCCCGGCUUUCGCAGCGUACUCAAGUGCAGCCACCACUCCAGAAUCUGGUACUGCAAUCACGACAUCACACUCAACUGGAGCCUCGGUAGCAACUACUUCCCCAAAAUGAUACCUCGACUCAUAAACAGACCUUCCAAAAACAACAGAAUUAGGCAAAGCAAAAUAAAUAUGCUCAAAGAUGCACUGCUUAGGUUCAGGGUGAGGCAUCAAACAAGGUGAUUGAACCCCAUCUUCAUCCACCAUCAAAACUUCACCGGGAUAUACCUCUCUCUCUCUCUCUCUCUCUCUCUCGUAUGUGGCCUCAAUCAAAUAGUGCACAAGUCUCUGAUGCAAAACCAGAGCACCAUUACUCCUCCCACCCAUCACCAAUGGCAUAAACCCAUACGGGUCACGAACCGCAACAAGCUUAUCCUCAGUAACUUAUCUCAUUUAUGACUUAUUGUUGCAUUUAAGUGAUUUUGCAAAAAUUAUUUUGCAAUAAUAUUAUUUUUUUGACGAGUAAGUUUGAAGUAAAUAAUACAUAUGGCAAGUGUGAGGUUUGUUAUUGCAUAUAUUUUGUGGAUCCAUUUUAAAGCCAAAAAAAAGGCAUUUUGAUUCAUUCUGAUUCCAGAUAAUUUCAAGCCAUAUGUCAUUAUUGGGAUAAAAAUAAAGUAAAAUGGUUAAAACUAUUUUUAUGUAAUUUAUAAAAAUUAAUGAAGCAGCUACAAAAUUUUUUAAACGAAAAACAAUUGAAAUGUGUGUGGAAAAAGAAGAAAAAAAAUAAGGCAUUUAAAUAUCUUCUUAAAAAAUACGAUUGAGUAAAAUCAUUUUAACAGAAUGCUCUUCCAAAUGCAAUUCCACAUUAUUUUUAUUACAUUGGGAUAUUCCAAAAUUGGCACAACUCAUUAAGAAUUCGGCAACUCAAAUUUUAUUUAUCUCUCUUUGCAUUUGACAAAUUAAAAAGAAAAAAAAAUUCAUAUGUCUUCUGUUCAAAAGAAACCUUGGUAAAUAUUGUAAAACAAAUUACCAAUUUUUUUAAAUUUAUGCCAUUAUAUCGUCGCUAUUUUCUCGCCCACUUUCUUAAAAUACAAUCAAUAUUUAUUGAUGGGUUGCGUUCCAGAGUAAGCACCAAUUCAGCAAAAUGGUUUUAUAGCAGAAAAAGCACUUGUAAGACAUUCAGAACACAUUUUUCAAUUUUGUCUUUUGAAAAUGAGUCUUGAGUUUCCGCAAGCCAAGUAGAAUGGCUAAAAAAUGUAUGGUAUCAAAGAAAGAGAAACACACACACACACACAGAGAUUAGUGGGGAGAUAUAUAUAUGUGUGUAAUUUGUAUAUAUAUCCCCAUUAAUUGUUGAUAGUCCAACGGGUGAGUAUAUGCAAAAGUAAAAAAUUGGCUGUCCUUUAAGACAAGAUUGACUGUCACAUGAAAAUGUUAGCAAACUUGCCACACAACAAAAAUAAAGAUUCAAAGAACAACUUUAUGGUCCCCUUUCUGUCCAAACGUAUGUGAUCGAAAUUAGUGUAAACGACACUUGAAAUAUAUAUGUAGAUCCUCACACAAUUGAUUAAAUAUUUAUAGUAGGAUGAAGUGAUAAAUAGUUUCACAAAAUUAUUGGAAUUAAUUAUUUAAUACAUGAGAUCUAUCUCAUUAAGUAUAAAAGAUUGAGUGCUGCUUCAAAAGCAUGACGUUGCUGGCAACAAAUUUAACACAAAAAUUUAAUUAAUUAUCCUAGUUGAGAUAAUAAAAUCUCGUGUUGAAAACAAAAGGUUUGAGGUUCAAACCUUCUCAUUCAAAAAAAUCAAGUCAAAAUAUUACAUCUUCCAGCACAUAUCAAAGAUUUUUUCAAAGGCAGACUGAUAAUUCAGGGUAAAAAAAAACAAAAAAACAAAAGGAAUAUAUGCUAUUCAAGACAGGUAUACCUUGGACAUGAAGUCUGAAUCCAAAACAUGAAGCACCUAGCUGAUCUUUCACUUUCCAAAACCCAACAAAAUCUUUGUCAAAAUAUAUGAUCUAGUCCCAUAUUAAGCACAUUCAUAGCCAUAUCACCAGGUUCAAAAUAUUUUCCCCAAAAAGAGAUAGAGAUUCCAUUGAAGUUGAGUUGUGACUGUCCCAACGUUUUGUAAUUAUAUGGUUCAGGAUACCAUGCCUAUGACUCUUUUUUUUUUUUUUUUUCUGUUUCCAUGUUUCGAAGUCUAUCAAAUGAAAAUGUAAUUAUAUGGUUCAGGAUACCAAUAUGCCGGAGCUGCAAAGGUUGACUUCCACUAUGCUAUCAAUGUCUAUACUUUCUAUUGAAUUUCCUUGUUUUUUUUUUAAAUUGCAAGAUUUCUUUUUGGAAAUCUUUGACACAUUUUAUGUAAGAUACCAUAAAGCCAAAUACAACCUUUUUUAUUCUCAGCAGCAAUUUUUUUUUUCCUUUUAAAAAAAGGAAGCCAUAUAAAUAAUGCUUAAAACAUUAUUUGCAACAAGGAACAAUUAUUUCAUGCUUUCAUGUAUUAGAAACUUUCCAAAAAAGCUAGCAAGAAAAUGAAAUGGAACUUUACCUAGUCACAGAAUAUUGCUGUUAGCCCAAUUAUUGCUGUUAGCCCAAUUGUUAUGAAGUGGCUUCUGCAUCAGAAGAUUCCAGCUCCCACCAAGCAUUGUUAUCUCUCUUCUGAAUACAAUCUGCAUCGCUGGGCAUGAGUUAUAUCAUUAAUGUCUGCAUCCUCACUUACAUCAUCCCAAUCAAGUGCUUUUUCUCCACAUUUGGAUUAUAAGUCCAAUCUCUUCAAAACAUCCUAGUCCUUCCAUCACAACUGAUACGACUUCCUUCCUAAUUACUUUCCCAUUAAUAAAUCGCUCCAAGAAAAAAAAGCAUUAGCAAUUCUCUUCAACGCCCCAUCACUCAUAUCCCCCACAACAACCAUCUUCAGCCACCUCAACGUUGCCUCUUGAAAGAUCUCCACAAAAUCCGAAUCAUCCGACACAACCACCAAACACCCAAACCUUCUUUUGUCCACCAUAGCCACCAUAUAAUUUCUCAACAAAAUAUCGGCAUCUUGUGGCUUAACUAACACCAUCCUGACCCAAAACCAUGCUCUUUUUAACUCAUCUGCAAAACCAUAACCCACUUUUGGAGUCAAAAUUGCGCUUGCAGCCGUUUUAUUUUUUUCCAUCUUUAUUGAAUAGUUGCCAACCAAAAGCACUCUCACCUGCCCUCUAGCUGAUUCUAUUUGAUUCGACCUUUUCUUUUGUUCACCCUCAUGAAUUUGCCUAAAAUGAUUAACAAGUUUGUCAUUAUUAUAAAAUCUCCUUCCACAAUCACCAAUACAUACGGCUUAGCAUGCCUAAUUACACCCCUGAUUUCUAAUUGGUUAAACAAUUCUCUUUCUUUCUUUGCUCUCUUACAACUUGAGGCACAUAACUAAACGCGUGGCUAUUAGCAUUUGCCACCAUGCAUUUAACAACCCCAAAUGAAGAUAUUAAUUUUUUUAGUUUAAUUGCUGCUUCAAAAUGGGAUACUGAAUUUGGAUUUUGUUAUCCAAAUACCAAAAAUUUCCCAUAUUGUGCUGGACAGUUUUUGGUUCUAAAGUUGAUGACUGGUUUUGCGAAUCAGGCUUUAAAUGAGAACUUCUAAACAAUAAGACAAAUGAGUUUUGAGUUUCUAAUCUUGUAAACUUUGUUCUAUUGUAUAAGUUAUGAAAUCGCUGAAACAUCACUACAGCUACAGGUCUUUAUGUGUCAAUGAACUGCAGAAGCUGAUGAUCUACCUGUAGCAUACUUUUAUUGCCCCUGCCGUUCUAGGAAGACAAACAAGUUCAAGAACUACUUCUGGACCAAACUCAUAAUAUUGCCAUUGCUUUGUGCCAAUCUGAGAGGGAAAGCAUAUUGAAGUUCCUAAAUAAGGCAAAUCAUGAUUUGACAGAAGUACCACUAUGAGGAACAAUUGAUUUCAGGAAAGCACUAAAAUAUGACAUAAUCUCCCCCUGAUGGUCUAAAGUAGUCAAGAAAUGAUAUCAACCAAGUAAAAACACAUAAACUAGUUGAGAUACAAAGUUAUUGUAAAAGUCAAUUUUGAUCACAAAUCCAUUAAAAUUAAAAGACAUCAGAAACAUAGAGAACAUUAUAAUUUAGGACUCAGCUAAGUCGCAGAUUCUGUAACUAACAGCUAAGUCCACAUUGGCCUUGCAUCAACUGAGUUUGGGUUGCUUUUCAUCUCUCCUUCAACGCGUGGAAGCGCCCCAUUUGCUGUGUUAUACAGAGUCGGUACCGUAGCGAGCUCCUAUAAUUUAAGUUUGAUCACUGUAGACAAUAGUCUGCCUCUGCUCAAAAGCUAUGCUGCAAGAUAUAACGUCUUUACAAUGUUAUACUUUCUAAAAGUAAUAAGAAAUGAAACCAAGGGGUAAACCGAACACCAAAAGAAAUUUAGUCGGCCAACUACAUUAUGUUCCCACACAGUCCACUAAUUAAGUUAAUAAUUAAAGGGAAUCAAAAUCUAAUAAAUCUCAUCUUCAAGCAGAAUACAAACACACCGAGAUUAAAAAUCACAAAAUCAUAAAAAGAAGCUGACUUUAAAAGCUCAAAUAUACGUUCAUCAGCCUCUCAACUUAUAUCUAAGAACAAAUGCCUGCAGCUUGUGAAGACAUAGAUAAUUGAAGCUGAUGAGGCAUAUUUAACAGAUGAUAAUCAAAACUCGUGUGAUUAAAAUUAUAAUUCAAUAAUCGAGCACAUAAAACAAGAAGUAACUAGUUGUAUACAUACCAAACAACAUUCUGAAGUUAAGGCGUAAAACCACUAGUGUAAACAAGCGCUAGUGUCAAGAACUAUUGUUAAUAACUCAAAAACCACUAGUGUCAAGAACUAGACUAAUAAGUGAAACCCAUAAUCAAACACAACUACAUCAAAAUCUCUGAAAAUUGAGGUCUAAACAUUGAAAACAAUUAGACAUAUAUAACAGUCAAUCGAAACAAAGCCUCAAAAUAAUAAUGAACUACAAUAAGACAGAACCUAAAUUGUAAACAAGCGCAUACCCAGUAACAAUAAUCAAGUAACAAGUCAAAACCAGAAUCAAACGUAGAAUUUUGAAAUCCAUACGAACUCUAACGUAUUAGAAUGAAAGAAUAAUGACGAUCGAUAAACUAGACUCAAACAAAAACAUGCCCAGUUAAAAAACGAAGGUAAAUAAAUAAAAAUGGUAUAAAAUUGCGAAAAAAAUUAAUGAAAUGAAGAGAAAAUCACAGGAAUCCUAUGAAGAGGAAGGUAAACAAAACCUUCGGGAGCCGAGAAGAUGCCUUUUUUUGUUCACUUUUGUGCCUAUACAUACAUUUUUUUUUUUGUAAUUUUGAAGAAAGUAUUGGUUAAAUAUUGUCAGAACGAAAUAUUAAUAGAUGCUGGCAAUUUCAACAAGGACAAUCUUCGAUUCAAAUGUACCCUUAUGAUAAAGAAAAAGCCAGCUUGUCUAAAUUUUGAGCAUCACAUUACAAGAUUUAGGUGUAUGUUUAACUAUGCAAAAUGAAACAUCUAUUAAUUGUAAGACCAUUGACCUCUGGAACCAGACAACCAGACUCUUUCCUACUAGACAACCUUCCAUUGAUCAGACUAAUAAUAUUUACUAAAUCAAGUUCUACAGUUAAUGAAGUUGGACCAAAGGCAAUUGUUAGCUUAAUGUCAUAGGCCACUCAAAUUUCUCGUAAUUGGAGGAUAAUUUUGUGCACAUGAGUUCGCUUAGCAAAAGUCCGCCUAGGCGUGGAGUGCGCUUAAAGGCGGGAUGCACUUAGAAGUGGGAUGCACUUAGCAAAUCAUUCAAGCCCAACCCAAGAUCUAAAACUCUAUGCAAAUUAUAAAUAAGCUAAAAGUUUCUAUGUUUCUCCACAUAGUUCCCUAGGAUAUUUAUGAAAGUUGCUAGGAAGUUUCCUCCCCUAGAACUCUAAUACCUAUAAAUAGGGGUGGGCCCCCUCAUUUGCCCACCAACCAUACCACACACACAAACACUCCAGCACACACACAAACACUCCAGCACACACACAAGCUCUCUAACUUUUGUAAAAAGCUCUCUUGUAUAUUCUCUCUUUGAGAGUAAUGAAAUCAUAUUCAGCCAUAUUGCUCUACUUCUCUCUACCAUUUUCCGCAAGUGUUCUUGCUUUGCUAGUUUGAGGAGUGUUCUAGGCUUGCUUAGCAACUUGUUUGCUACAAGGACAUCUUGGUCACAAAACAUGGACAUGCAAGGAAAAAAAAAAGAUAUUGAUAUGUUCUAAAAAUAAAACGCAUUCUUCUACAGUGAACCAAAAAAUUUAGGCUAAUGGUAGCAAGUGAAGGAAUUGUGAUUUCACGUGCAUUUUGUUGACAUGAAGGUAAAGAGCUUUUUUAUAGUUUAUAUUGUUUAAUAUAACAUUUGAAUUGCAAAAUAGGGGUACAAAAUGGAUACACGAAGUGAUAAAACUAAGUUGAUUAUGAUAAAUAUUGAAUUAUAAGAUUUAGGUUUAAUCAUAAAGACAUAAGUGGCGCACAAAGUCACGAAUUAUCAUCCAUGAUGUAAGUUCAAACAACUGCAUAAUAAGUUGCCCCAAGCUAAACUAUUAAUCUAGUAACUAUUCUAGUCGAUGUGGGAUAAUUUUCAUAUCACCUCUAUCACGUGCAAGCCGAAUUUGUUGCUUGGUCCUUACAUGUGGUAAGGUAAUAUGAAUCCACUUGUGCAUAAAUUUGGCUCCGAUAUUAUAUAGAAGCCUAUGACCCAAAAUUAUACUUAAAGGUUAUUUCAAGAUUUGAGGGUUGCCUCAAGCUAAUAUUAUUAUUAGCCUGGUAACCCUUUUUUUUGUUGAUAUGUGAUAUUUUCCCUAUAACUUUUAUUAAUCUUUAUGCUUAUGUUUUGUCAUUUAUCCCAAAAUAUAACAUUAACAAAAGUUCCAAAAUUUCCUUCAAGAGAUAUAUUUGAGAAAAGUAAUUUGUGCAAUAACUUUGUGAAUUGAUGAGCAAAUUCAGAGAAAAGAAUAUAUGUGCCAAACGUAACGUUUAUUAUUGUGUUUAUUUGUAGAGCUAUUUAAAGCCCAAAAAAAAAAGCACGGGUCCACUAUUAUUUCAAAUAAGUUCAAGCCCUAUGUCAUUAUUGGUACAAAAAUGUAUCAGAAAGGUUAAAAAAAAUUUUUAUUUAACUUAUAAACUUAGGAAAUUAUCAACUGUCUGCCCUUAAAUUGCACUAUUAUAAAAAAUAUUACAAUAUUUUCAGGUUGUAUCUACCAUAAAUUUACAAUUGCAUCAUUUAUCCACCAAAUCAUUAACUUCGUUAAAAAGUGAUAGACGUCACAAGGGUAGUUCAGACAUUUAACACACAAAAAUAAAAGAGAAAUUAUCUAAGCUUACCAUGUUAUCAAAAUUGCUACAAAAUUUUAAAUUUGUUCAAUUUUUCAAUCUAAGUUUAUGACCUCCAAGAUAUUAAUUGCAGUUUGUAAUUAAUGAGUUCAUAAGGAUAAUUUAGACACUCAAUAUGCAAAAUAAAAAAGGAAAAUUAUCAUUUGUAUACCUUAAAGUUGCGCUUUUAUAAAAAAUAUUACAGCACUUUAAUGGUGUAUCAAUCGUCCACCUUAAAUUGGCAAAACUUAUCUACCGACCACUAAACCAUUAGCUGCCGUUUGAAAGUUAACGGAACUGAAGCGAAUUGACGAUUUUACCCUUGAAAAUUAUCACUUGUAUACCCUUAAAAUCUCUUAUUAUCAAUUAUAUACUCUUAAAUUAUCACUUGUAUCUAUGAAAAGACUAGAUUAACCCUUUGACGUCAUCAUGUUUAAACGGCAACUAAUGGUUUGCUGAACGACAAAUACAUUUUGUCAAUUUAGGGUGGACGACUGAUAUACCCUGAAAGUAUUGUAGUAAAUUUGAUAACGGAGUAAACUAAGGGUAUACAAUUGAUAAUUUCACAAUAAAAAAUAAAAUAAUGGCUUAAAUUAAAACAAAAAACUUGAUAUUCAAUUAAAUACACAUAAACUCUAUUUUUUUCUUAAUUAAAAAUAUUCUAAUUUAGUUUCUCAAUUUAUCAUCAUAAAUUUACAUUAAUAAACUAAAUCCACAAAUUACCCUAAACCCUAAUUCAUAAAUGCCCAAUCAAUCUAAUACUUUAAUUCGAUUUCAUAAUUAAAAAAGCUAAAUUUAUUAUAUUAGUUAUGGUGCAAAGUAAAAAAUGCCCUUAAAUUCAAGGGUAAAAUAACAUUUUAUUUAAAUUCUAUAAAUUAUUCUAACAAUGUUAACAUUUUGGUGGACGGUUAAUAUAAGUUACAAACUUAAAAUAGAAAAUCAAAUAAAUUCAAAAUUUCAAACUAUUUAGAGGAAAUUUAGGAUAUAUGGUUAAUAAUUUUCCCAUGUCUUUUUACAUUGGUUGAUAUAAGCUACAAACUUAAAAUAGAAAAUCAAAUAAAUUUAUAUUUUCAAACUAUUUAGGGCAAACUUAGGGUAUAUGGUUAAUAAUUUUCAUUUGUCUUUUUAUGUUAAAUUGAAUUUCAAAGGUAAAAUGAUCAAUUUAUUAUAAUUCUGUUAAUUGUUUAGUGGAAGCAAACGAUAUAAUGGACGAAUGAUAUAAAUUGUAAAAUUAAGGUGCAUGAAUGAUACAACUUUAAAAUAUUGUAGUAAUUUUAAUAAUAAAACAAUUUAAGGGUAAUGAUACAACUUUAAAAUAUUGUAGUAAUUUUAAUAAUAAAACAAUUUAAGGGUCGAUUGGCAAUAAUUUAAACUUUAAUGAAGCAACUAAAAAAUUUUUUAACAAAAGAAAAAUAAUUGAAAUGCUUUAAGAAAAAUAAAGGAAAUUAAAUAUCUUUAUAAAAAGGCCAUCAAUUUAGCCAGCAAUUUUGUCAAAAUUUCAACAAUUGAAGAAACAAUGAUCACAAACGGAACAUGUGAAUUUUGAAGUUGAAUAAAUCUUGAGAUACAUACAACAAAGCCUUGAAACUUUAGUCUUCACAAUUUGAGCACGCACUAAAUAUUAAACAAGUAUAGAACAAAGCUUAUUUUUAGCUUCUUGUGCGAACUGAACGCGCUGAAAUGUGUGUUUUUUUUUUGGAUUUUUGGAAUUUUUUAAAUUCAUUUAUGUUCGCUGCCAUCUUUUUCUUCGCUGGCGUCUUCCUCCUCUGUAGUUUGCUGUGCCUAUAUAUCCAACCAAUAAAUUGGGCAUUAAAUGCGAAUGAAUGAUGAAUAAAAUGAUUAAAAAAAAACAAACAGAGAAAAUUAUAAUAUAACACAUAUAUUGAAAGAGAAAUUUUGAUUUUAGGAUAGAUCAAUUAGCUAUCACAAACGAAAAUAUUAACCAACUAUGUAUAGAGUCAAUUAAUUUAAAGUUCUCAAGAAUUACCUCUGCUCCAGAAUUCUCGGAAUCAUCUUCUCCUUCUGAACUUGGACGAAGCUUGGGACAAUUACUAACAAAUACAGACUCGGCAGAUGGAAAUGGGAUCUGAUAACCCGCAGGCCAAAAGUUGGUGAGGUUUGGUAAGUCUUCCAGUCUCAAGUACCGAAGUUCAUUCAUAACAAUUUCAUUGUAAUCCGUGACGUCUGCUCCAUCUUUAUGCCAGAAUACUUCUUCUAAUUCAUCAUUACCUAUUAUGUAUAGGCGCGACAGUUUUUGAAGACUUGGAGCUACGCUGAUAUGAAAUAGAUGCUUGAGUUUGAGGCAAUAACUGACAAUGAUGAUUGUGAGUUUUGGGAAACAUACAGGUUGGAGAUGAUCCUCAUCCUCAUCAAUGAUUUGCUCUAAUCCCAAGCAGUUAACAAUACCUAACAUCUCCAAUUGCAACAGAUUUCGAGCAAGUGUUGAUGAGAAGAGACGUCUCAGCAUAGUGCACCCCUUUACAGUUAAUCCAGUAAGAUUUUGCAGGCUAAAAUUAUGCGCGGGACCUUCAUGAUAUAAUAAUACUUGCAGUUCUGGAAGAUCUUCCAAAUGCAACGACUUCAAACAUGGGAAUAGUUUGUUUUCUUGUCCCUCAGCGAUAAUAGCUUCCACUUGAAAUACCACCUGUACUCCAAGUUCUCUAAUAUCCAAUCCUUCCAAAUUUUUUAAUCCGUGCUUCAACAGUGCUGGAAUCGUGUCACUCAAAUGGGAACAAUUGGCCACAUCUAGAGUAUUUAAGUUCUGAGACAAAUAAAUAAAUAACUUGAUGCAAUUAAAAUCUAUUAGCAGCUAGGAUUAUCACAUGAUAAGUGAUGAACACCGCAAAAAUAUCAUAAUACAUAUGUAAACUAAUAAAAUAAUUAAAAAGUAAUGGAUUUUUAAAAAAAAAUUGAAAUUAGUUAAAAGAGAUCAUGUGAAGUGUAUAAAUGUGACAUUAUAUUGUUUGAGAAAAAUUAGUAUUCUAUUAAUUUCUAUCGAUUGAUCAACUAAUUAAUUGAAUUUGAGUAAUAUAAUAUACACUUUAGUAGUGUUUGCAUCAAUUCUUUCUACAGCGAAAUGAGAUAUGACUUUCAUUUGAAGAAUGAUUUUAGGCUCUAAAAUAAAGAAAUUUCCUUAAGAUAUUUGAGCAUUAUUAUUAUCAUCACCACAUCCACGAUCAUCAUCAUCUCCAUAGGACCAAAUAAUUAAUGGCUGAUCAUAAAAUUUAUUGCUAAACUAUUAUUUCGAGUAAAAUUGAAGGAAAAGAAAAAACAUAAACACAAACGAACAUACCUCUCCAAGAUACUGCAAAUUGGCUUCAAGUUCAGUAUUGUUGACAGUCAAGUUGGGACAUUUAUGAAGGUCUAACUGUUCCAAUGCUGGCCAAAUUGAACAAUAAUUUUCUGAACAGAAGCUGACGAGUUCUGGGAGAUUUCGAAGUGUUAAUUCUCUUAACAAAGGGAGGGCGAGCAUCGUAUUUCCAUCUCCGACACUUAUUUCCCCUUCAUUGUGAUCAAACUUUGCUUCGACAAUACAUUCUAGCCUGUCGCAAUAAGUCACACUGAGACAUUUAAGCUGCUCCAAACUUCGGGCUUGUGACAACGUGAAGAUAUAUGUCAACUUGUUGCACCUUUGCAAAUUCAAUUCUGUGAGAGUUUGGAGGCUGAUCACAUGUUGGGCGGGCGUCUUCCAUAUCCACUUCAGUUCUGGUAAUUCCUGCAUAAAUAACUCUGCUAAUCUUGAGAGCACCACAGGAUUCCCACUCUUUCCAUGUGGCAACUUAGAGGCGCCCAUUAUGCAUUCUAAAUCCUCACAUUGUUUGACAAAUAGACGAGUCAACUCAUUUAAGCCCCUUUCAUCUAUGCUUGGCACAAUAUUAUGACAACCUAUUAACCCCCUCAAACGAAGAAAUUUCAGAUUUUGAUACAAUGCUGAAAAAAUAACGAGCGAGGUCGCUUCAUGAGGGUAAUUCUCAAUGAUUAAGCUCCUUGUUUCAUCACCAUGUUCCAUGUCAUGAGCAGAUAAUUGACCAUUACUGAUGACGUACCUUUGCAUUUUCGGGAAUGUAAAGUCUUUUGGAAGACAUAUAACUUGGGAGUUCAACUCAGCAAGCCUAGCAUUACUUUCUUCUGAACUCAUCCCUUCAACCUCCCAAUUUUUUAUCCGACCAUAAAAUUCUUCCAAUUGAGGAAAUUUUUUUAUCCCAAUGGGAGAAACAGAACCGGUAUCAAUAUAUAGAAGUUUCAAUCUACGAAGUUCAUCCGACAAUUCUUCAAGAAUUUUAAUGGGAGACUUCUCGAGAAAAAGAAGUUCAAGCCUCUUCAACUUUCCAAGGAAAGACGCGUCACUCACCUCACAUCGAAUCAAUUGCAGAACCUGGAGGUUGGUGAGGAUCUGAAGCGAUUUAAGUGAAAGAACUCCACCUAUUAUAGUGACAACUUUCAAUGCUGGCAUCCCUUCAAAAAAAUGUUCUGGAACUUGCAAUCGGUGGUCGUAUUCAGGAUUCUCCAAUCGCAAAAUAUGAAGGUUAGGGCAUACCAAACCACUAGGAAGCUCUUCUUUUUUAUUUCCCACCAAAGAAAUUCCUCUGUAUUGUUCCAGGCCUUCUUUCAUUGCCCGUUCAGCCAAUCCAAUGCCAACUUUACUAAAAAAUUUCUUCUCCUCUAGAACUAUUGAGCCUAUCCAUAUGGCUACAUCACGAACUAUGUCAUGCAUUUUCACAGAUCUGUCAUUACCAUUGUCUAACAGCAGUGACGCAGCUUUGAGCGCGUUAAUCGUUCCAUACAGUCGGCUUCUGGCGUUUUCUAUUGACGGAUCACAUUGAUACCAAAUAACCCCCACUGCGUAUCCAACCAAAUCCUCCAAAUAAAUCUCAUAAUCUUCUGGAAACAGAGAACACAACAAGAAGCAUAACUUGGACUCCUCACUAUUUAAAUUGUCGUAACUGAAUUUGAGACAACCGUAAACGUCUUGGUCAUCCUUGUCAAUACCUUCUAUUGCAUAGAGUUUUGCUUCCCUUAGGUUAUAUAGUGCUAGAUUCCAAUCAUCAAAUCCUUUUUCUAUUAGUGCACUUCCAACAGCUUCAAUAGCUAAAGGCAGCCCCUUACAUUCGUCAGCAACUUGUUCUGGAACACGAUCCAAGGAGGAGUCGUUUACAUUAAUACCGGCAUUCAUUUUUAGGAGAGUCAAUCCUUCUUCUGGCGUUAGUGUACUAAGUUGAAUCUGUGUGUCACAACCCAAAGAAUCACAAACUGACUUUUUGCGAGUGGUUAGAAGGAUUUUGCAACAAUUAUCUCUACCACCGACGGUAAUACCUAAUUUUUUCUCCAAGUCGAGCUCUUUCCAGACAUCAUCGAUGAUUAUGAGGAUCUUGGUGCUUUUACUGUCAGAAAACAUCGAGCGCAAUCGGUCUGCUCCAUGUUUUUCAUCUUUCUGUUUUAAUUCCCAACCUAAUGAAUUUGCCAGCUCGUUUUGAACAUUUAUUAUGCUUGGAUCCUGAGAUACAGUGGCUAUCCCCACCAUAUCGAAAAUGUUUUUUUCCCGAAGUUGAUUGCCCACAAAUUUUGCCAGGGUUGUCUUUCCUACACCACCGAGACCAUGCAAUCCCACCAUCUUUGUGCUCUCUUUUUUCAGUGCGUCAAUGAUCUGAUUGCAAGCUGAUUCUGUGGUCUCGAAAAUAGAAGUAAAAUGACUUGGCAAACUUAAUUCUCUUUCUAAUGGUAGAGGUUUAGGAAAGGCAACUGUGUUGAAUUGGCUGCAGUCUUGUAGCAGAUCAGACAACUUGCUAGUCUUCUGUGAUGCUUUUCUACCCAGCCAAUAUCGGCAACACCAAUUAGGACACAAUCCAUGAAGACUACUAUCCUUUUCAUCUAUCUCUGCUUGCAACUUCCAAACAUCGUCCAAUUCUUCGACUCCAUUAUUCAGCCACUCCAUUACAUUUCCAUUGACUACUAUGUCGGGGCAUUUUCGUAGCUCAUCGUAUAUUCUUGUUUUGAUGCCAUCUCGUGCCUUCUUCAACUUAGUUUCUUUAUCCUUAAGUUCUUUAACAAUGCUGUUGAAACAGAACAUAUAGCGAGCUUGGUCAAUUGCUGCAUUCACCAAUAAUUCUUCAACCUUUGAUUUUAAAGCUUCCAUGCUAUUUAUCUGCAAAUAACGAAGUUGAUCUCAGCACGCUAUUAGCAAAACAACAAGGCUUGAUCACUAGACAAAAUGAGAACGUUUAAUUACCUUUUUCUGUACUGUGAAUGCACGUCUAUUAACACCAGCUUUGACCAAUAAGAGCAAAAUGCAGAGGCCGGGGGGGGGGGCUUAAGAGUUUCAGUGGCCUUUAGCUGCAAAACGGAAGAUGACAAAUAAGGUAAACGUUCCCAGCAAACGUGAUUUACGGUGAAUUAUAUUCAAAUUAGAUUAUUUUAAAAGUUGGUAAAUUAUUUAUCACUCUAUCUUAAUGAUACCUUAUUUGGGAUGGUAAAGAUUGGGGGUAAACUCCCUUUUAUUCUCACAUGUUUAUAGUAUUUAUAUUUUUAUAAAUUACCUAAAACAUCCACGUCACUACUUUUAUGGCUAUUGAACAUAUCAUUUCAAAUAUAAAAUACUAUUUCGGUCUAAUAUAAAUUAAAAAUCAAACAAAUCUAUUGUGCAAUAAAUGAAAAGUAAAGAAUAUUAAUUAGGUUUUAAUGGAAACAAAUAUAAAACAUAGAGGUUUUGAGUAACUUUUGUGAUUUUUUUUUUAAUGUUCAAUUUAGAAUUGAAUAAUUUGCAUAAUGAAAUUUUGAGGUUUCUAUAAUUUAUAUGAAGAUAAACUGAAAAAUAAGUUUAUAUGCCGAAAUUAAAAUAGUUAUAUAUUAGCAAUCAUAUAAUUAUCAAAAAAAUUAAUAAAAUUUAUUUAAAAAUUGGCCAAUUGUGUUUCAUGAGGAAAACAGAGAGCAUAAUGGACUUAUGUUGGGUCUUGGGAUUGAAGGACUAAGGGCAAGGGGCUGGGAGGUAGGACGGUAGGAAAAUUAAUUUUUUUUUUUUUUUAAAGUAUGGUCAACAUUAGUGACUUGGAGGUGAUUGCCGUUAAUCAAUUACCUUUAACUUAAGAAUUAAUACAAAUAAAUGGCAAAAAUAAUUUAAUGAAAAUUAAUUUAAUAAAAAAUUGCACUAAAAACUUAGAACUCAAAUUCUCGAUCAUUUUAUCCGUACGUUUUAAUCCGACGCUCAGAAUUGGCAUAAAACAAACUAAUAUAGCCAUUGGAAGUAAAACAAACAUCAAAUCAAGAGCCUAUGAAACGAUAAUAUCUCGUACCUUCUUCCUUAUAGAUCCUCAAUUGCUGCUGAAAGCUGCAUAUGACAAUAUAAAUAAACAUGAGAUCAAAACAUCAUAGGAUAUAUCUAACCAAUUAACAUCAUAUAUAACUCCUUGUUCUCAGUCAAAUCUUUCAUUCUUAGAUUAAAAAAAAAAGAAAUAAUAACUGUUAAGUGAUAUAGGAAGCAAAAGUAACACACCGAAAUGAAAGCAGCAAGUUCACAAAUGACAGAUGCGGUGACUUCAAGAGCAUGAAAAAUGAUUAAACUUUGGUAGAAAGGUCUGAGCCGUGUUUCACAAGUUGCUAUUGACUUCGUGGCUUCGCUUUUAUUUAUUAUUAUUAUUAUUUUUUUAAAUUCUAUAUCAGUGAGAAUUGAAAUGUGGAAAGUGUAAUGAUACACAUGCCUUAUCAUCUAUCAUGAGGGGUGAUUUGGUAAAACCGAUUUAAAAUAAAAAAAAGUUUAAAAAAAUUGAAAAAAGAUGCUUUGUGUCUGACUGCCUGUAUUUGGGGUAUUUUUCGGGUUGUUGAGAGUCAGUUUAAUUAAAUAUAAGAUUUUCAUUUUUCUUAUUAUAUUUUUCUCUUUAGAAUGAAUUUAAAUCUCAUUCUUAUUAAAUCCAUUUUUUUAAAUGAAAGUAGAUUUCUCUCCACACAUUUGAGAUAUAUUUUAAAAUUAAUGUUCAGCAUAUCUCUAAAUUAUAUUAUAAAUAUUUUUAUUUAAAAUCUCAACAAAUUUCAUAACACACAGAGAGAAAUACAUAUAUAUGUUGUAAUGUUUUAAUGAUGGAUCUCUAAAGUUGUCAAGUUAAAAAAUAAAUAAAAAAAUAAAAAAUACACACUUCAACUUAUUAUAUGAUAAAAUAUAGUAUAUUAAAGUGAGUAUUUUUUGUGUGAAAUAAAAUUAAAGUGAGUACUAUUACCACCUCACAUCUUAUAAAUUCUAGAAAAUAAUCAAGGCUUGACAUACUUUUAUUUAUGCAAAAGCAUAAGAAAAUAAUUCAAAGUAAUAAUUAGUGUACUAUUCCUCAAAAUUCUAGAAUAGAUUUGUUAGUUCUCUUUAUCUAUAGAUUGGUCCAUGAUUGGCAUCGCAAUAGCUCAGAAUCGCCUCAACGAUUGUUCCACACGGUCCAAGUCUUCUUAGCAAUAGUUUUAGAGAAAGUGUUUAGUAGUUCCAAGUCUUCUUUUUUUAACACAAAUGUUGGCAUGAUAUUCUUAAUAUAUUUUUAAAAUCAAAAUAAGAUGCAUAGAGGACAAUAAUUUUAUUUGAUAAUUGAUUUUUUUGCAAAGAAAGUUUGAACAUGAGAGUGAUGAGAGAUGAGAAUAUUGAUGAUGGUGUGUACUUUAGAUGGAAAAAUAGAUUGGAAAUAUAUAUAGACAUAUUAAAAGAAAAAAAUUUGGUCUAUUUCAUAAGAGAAACAAAAAAUUAUAAACGCAGGUGUUAAAAUGUAUUCAGAAUUUAUAAAUUUUUAUAAAUAUGAUAAUCAUUAGACCCUUAUAAAAGUAUAGCAAAAAGUUUAAAAUUUUUUAAUAAAUGUCGAAGAGAUGGACGAAGAAACCAUCCACCAGUUCAGAAUUAAUAAUCAAAGAUAUGAGGAUUCGAUCGAAGAAAUGGUGAAAAAUAAAAGGUCACGGGAUUGGUUAGUGGGACCCUAACAUUAAUGGUAAAAAAUAAAAGGACACUGGGUUGCUAUCAAUUUUUACAGUGUAGGUUCAUAGCCGGGGAAGUAAUUGGGCACAAAUAUCUCGGAUGAGAAAUAUCCAUUUUAUCCCGCAACUUUAUGUUUAUGGCCUCUAAAAAUUUUCACCUCUUUCACUUCUGGAACCCGUGCUUUCUGGCACAUGCACAAUACUUGGUUGCUACUUAUAAAGCGUUUUUACAAUUGCAACGACAUGGUGCUCUUUGAUAAUUCAAAAAUCCAAUAUAAUUUAUAGAGAAUUACAGAAUUGUGGUACGUGAUAAUUUGCUGACGCAAUGAGGCGCCUAAAUUCUUAUACAUGGGAUUUAAGUUAAAUAUGUAUAAUUAUGUAAUUAGAAAAUACUAGUUGGGGGUAUUUGUGUCCAUGAAAAUUUACAGCUGGUUGUUGACAUUACACUGCGGGUGUGUAAGUGUAAUCAUGGAUCUGACCAUUCAAAUUAAAAAAUGGGGGUCCCACUAACUUACGGAGUUAGUAAUUAUUACAUAUGCAGAUAUUCUCCCAUACGAUAACCUUAUCAUAAAUUUAAAGGAUACGAGGACUUGAUUGAAGAAAUGAAUGAAUAUUUGAAUUAAAAAAAAUUUAUAAUAAAGACAAGUAUUAAUUUACUAUGAAUGUAACUUACAUAUGCUGUAAGUUAGCGGGACACUAUUGAAUCACAAGCAAAAAACAAUCUGUCUUCUUCUUGAUUCCGUAAUUUGGCUGUCAAAAUGUAAUCUAUAAAGAUUACGAUACCUCGAUUCAAAAAAAUAUUUUUUUUUCUUAUGAAAUAAAUGAAAACUGAACACCAUUCAAUUAACCGUUUAUUUCCCCUUAAAUUUUUAAUCUCAAUGAAACAUAGAUCUAAUGGGAACUACACAUAUAUAAAAAUACUAUAGAUUGAAGAAGUUGAAUUUUUCUUGUGUGUUAAGUAUUUUUGGUUAAUACGAAAGGAUUCUAGCAAGUUAAUACAAAAGUAUCAUAAAUUCACUGUAGUACAAGAUUUUUUUUUUUUUCCUUUGAUGUUAAGAGUUUUGGAGAUUAAAAAAAAAAGAUGAAAGAAGAAGAUGAGAGAAGAAAAAAUAUUAAGAAUAGUUUUGGCAUUUUGAUGCGUUUUAUAGAGUAAAAUUUAUAUUUUAUAGUAUAAAAUGGUACACCCAAAAUUUAAUGAUAAAAUUUUAGGAAAAAAUUGCACUCGUCAAAAAAAAAAAAGAGGCUCAGCUUAGCCCAAAAUUUUUUUAUUAAUCGUCUAGUCACAAAUGUAAUCUCUUUUUUAUGAGAUUCUUUGGCGUUUUAAUUUAGUCCAUUGUUAGCAAUCCUAAUAGCUUUUAUGUGCACCUAUUUUUAUGUGAAAUAUGUUUCAAGCUUGAAUAAAAUCUGCGGGACAACUGGUAAGUAAUAAAGCUCAUCAUUUUUUAUUUUGAAAAUAAAGGGAAUCACUUACACUUUAGCACGAUAUUAUUUUUGAUAAGUCAUUUUUUGGAUAGAUUAUUUUUUCUGACGGGUAAUUUUUAGGACCUCUCCUGAAAUUUGAUGUAUUAACACUUAGAUGAAAUGUAUCCAUAUAAUUACAUAUACCUCCCCUAUUGUUAAUAUAAAAAUAUGUAUAGCGUCAGAUAAAAGGGUAAAUAUGUAAAAAUAUAUUUAAAAUUAAAAAUAUUUACUUUUACCAAAUCAUUAAAAUUUUGACCCACUUGCCCGCUGUUGGCCCAACCUUGACCAGCCGGUCAUGGCUCCACCGGCGACUGGUGGUGGUGCUUUGCCACUGCCGGAGUCCUCUCCUCACACCUGCGACCAAUCCCAUUCACGGCAGCCUUUGAAUCAACUGCAUCAACCAACACACAUUAACACAAGUACACGGCUUUUUGAAGUCUCUUUUGUUUUGCGUUUUCCCUUCACUGAGAAAAUUUGUCAGCUAAUAUAAUAAGCUUUGUUGCCUUAGAUUUGAGAUUACAGAGUCCUGAGCAGAUGUUGUGGCUGUGAUGUGGGUUUUAUUGUAUUUGACUAAUAGGCAAAAUACCUUUUAUUGGCCUACAAGGACGGUGCCUUUUUCUUCUUGUUGGGGAACUUCGUGAAGAAUCCAGCUUGCUUUUUUCUUCCUUUUCUUUCUUCAUUUUAAUUCAUUUUUUAAUUUAUAAUAACUUUUUGAGAUUGAAUUAUCGGCUUCACAUGUAAACAAUGGCAUUUGGUAUGUCACAAGUGCAUAGUUAUUCUUAUUUUUUAAUUUAUUUUUUUCUGAUGUUUUUGUUGCUGGAAUUAAUUUCUCAAGGUUUUGGCAUCACUCCCCAUUGGAUUUGCUAUGUUCAUGGUACAAUUGGCCACAAUCCCAAUCACUCGCACUGGAAUUAACCCAGCAAGGAGUCUCGAAGCUGCUGUUAUUAACAAUAAGGACAAGGCUUGAGAUUGACCAAUGGCUCUUUUGGGUGGUGGUGCUUUGCCACUGCCGGAGUCCUCUCCUCACACCGGCGACCAACCCCAUUCAAAGCAGCCUUUGAAUCAACUGCGUCCACCAACACACGUUAAUCCAAGUAUGCUUUUGUCUCAUCAGAACCCCCACACCCCCGCUGCCCCUUUGGCAAUCGCCGACGCCACCCAAUAGCGGCUAACAUCACCCUUGAACCAUCCCGAUACCAUGCCGCAACCUCUAGCAUCCCAAAACCCAAACUGCACACAACUCUCAAAACCCUUGCUCGAGCUUGUCACGCCGCAUACCACUGCCGUAAUUUGUACCAACAGUGAUGGUUCCAUAUCGUCACUGUCCAUCCCCUCAACCAACCCCCCAUGCAACCCCGACCUCAAUAACAUCUCAACAACCACGAACGCACGAUUUCUUCAACCUGCACUUACGGCCACUUUUAAUGAAAUUCUCACUGCCAACGGAAUUCUCAAAGUUAUAUAUAAUAAUUUAUUAUUUCAGCAGCAAGGAUAGUUUAAUAAUUUUAAAUGUUUAUUAACGGUCAUCUUAAUUAGUAACUAACGGCAGGGGAGGUAUAUGUAAUUACAUAAAUACAUUCUAUCUAAGUAUUAAUAAACCAACCCUCACAGAAGGUCAUUAGAAAUUAUCCUUUUUCUGACAGGCUCUUAGAUUUGGGAAAAUAAAUUGUGUACUUUUAAUGAAGAAAAGUAAAAGAUCAAUAAAAUAUUUUGUUGUUUUCGACAAUUUUUGCGUUGUCAAGUGCGCCUGGUACCUUUUUUUUUUUUUUAACUUUUGAGUUGUUGUUUAAUUUGUAUUAUAAUUAAUUAUCAUGGACCCACGUGCCACUGUUUCCAUUUCAAGUUUCAUAAUUUAACAGUGGAAAUGGGUUCCACAGAUAAUUUAUUUUAUAAUUUUUUAAAAAAAUUAUCAAAAUGUAAUAAAUAAGGUAAUAAUAAUUAAUAAAAAGUAGAUUUUAAGAUGGAAAAAUCUUUUUGUGUACUUAAUAAAAAGAUGAUAAGAUUGGGAUGCUUUUGGUUUACAUUCUCAUAGCUAUUUCUACUGAAAAAUUACAUCAAAAUUUAAUUAAUAAAUCAGUGAACUGCAGACUUAUUAAAUUUAAGCAAUUUUAAUAAGUCAUAAAUAUACUAAGUUAAAAUAGUAGUAAACCCAUCGUUACACAAUUCUCUCCAUUGAAUGUUCACCACUUUAAGAUAAUCAUAAAAUGACACUGGAUGUGCUAUUAUCUGUUUCAUUAAAAGCCUUCACAAAAUAAAAGGCCGGUGAACAAAGUUGGUCAUAGAAAAAAGGAGCAUAGAGCACAUACAUCCAGUUUUUAUAUCCUCUGAUACUGAGUCGUCACAUGCUAAUGCUAUAGACUAUAUGAUAAUCUACUAAGGUGACGCAUGCCAAUGCUAUAGACUAGCUUUUCAAAGGUUGAAGUGGGUAUACUUUUAGUAAAAAGACCUGCAAAAUUAUAAUGUAUCUAUUUGACAUCAACUUUUUUUAUCUGCUGGAGCUUAUGAUUAUAGAAGAUCUUCGGUAAGAUGUGUUUGAUUUUAUCUUCUUUUAUAUAUCCUCCUCUAACUUGUGUAAUAGUAGUAAACCCCUGCCCGUUUUUAUUUCGUUUAGUAUUUUCUAAAUGGCCGAAGGAAAAUUGGUAAAAACUCAUUUAAAAAUAAAAAAAAAUCAAAGAAAUUCAAGAAGAAGCUUUCUAUCUGCCAUUUGUAUUUGGGGUAUUUUUUUGGUUGUUAAGUGAAUGAGCUUAAAUCUAAAACAUUUAUUUAUAUAUUUCUUGUUGGAAAGAAUUUAAAUUUUAUUCUUAUUAGACUUAUUCUCUUUAAACAAAGGUAGAUUUUUCUCUAUGUGUUUAACGUGUAUUUUAAAAUUAAUGUUCAACAUAUCUUUAGAUUCUAUUAUAAAUAUUCAUAUCUAAAAUCUCAACAGAUUUCAUAAUAUAUAAAGAGAGAGAAUAACGUUUCUAAUAAAAAAUUUAUUAAGUUAAAGAAUAAUUCAAAAGAUAAAAUAACACACUCCAAUAUAUUAUAUAAUAAAAUAUAUUGUAUUAAAAUAUAUAUUUUGUUUACUUUUUUUAAUAUAUCUCCUAAUAACUUAAGAAAUCAUUUAUUUAACUAUAUAUAUAUAGAGAGAGAGAGAGAAAAAUGUUCACGAGAAACCUUUAAAACUGCAUGGUUUUAAAUGUUUAAAAUGUAAGAACCGAUGAACAAUUUUUGACAAAGACGUUGCGACCUAAGUAGGGAUAGCAACUAAAUUCGGAUCCAACUCGGAUAUGUAAGGAUCCGAAAGAUCCAGAUCCAGAAAAUUUUUUAUCUGAAUAUUAAAAAAUGUUGAUCCGGAUAUAGAAAUUUGGGAUCUGCACGUAUUGGGAUGGAAGUACAUUCGGAAAAUUGGAUAACGAGAUCUAGAUAACUUUUGUUUCAAAUUAAAAAUAUAUAUUAAAAAUUAAAUGAAAAAUUAAAAAAGUAAAUUUCAUUUGUGGAUUUAUGAUGUUGUUGUAUAUUAUUCAUGUUGAAUUAUUAAUUGCUGGAUAUGAUUGAAUUUUUUUUGAAAUUAUUGGGUAAAUUUUUGAAUUUUAUUUUAAAUUAAAAAUAUUUAUUAAAAAUUAAAUAAAAAUAAAACAUUAAAUUUUAUUUGUAAAUUUAUGAGAUUAUUGUAUGUUAUUCAUUUUGAAUUAUUAAUUGUUGAAUUAUGAUUAAAUUUUAUUUGAUAUUAGUAGGUAAAUUAUUAAACUUUCAAAUUAUAUAUUAAAUUAUUUAAUUAUAAUUUUUACGGAUCCGAAUAUCUAGAAUAUCUGUUCGCAUCCGGAUCUACAUAUUUUUUUACGAAUCCAGAUAUAAAAAUAUGAAUGUGGAUCCAAAUUCGGAUUUUGCCAACCCUAAACCUAAGCAUGAAUGUGCCUAAAGUUUUUACUAAGAACAUGGAUCAUUCAAUGACACGACAUGUUUUGCAGCUCUCAUUAGUAUAAUUGAAUAAUUAAUUCAUCUCUAUAUUCAGCUUACACCGUCUCAAAUUGCAUGCAAAUACGAAAGUACACUUUUGAAUCGUUCACUUGAGGAAAAUUAGAUUCUCCACGUAGAAUUUAGAUUCAAAGCAUAGCAAAUUAGACAUAAUUCUAAUUUAUAUGGGAAAUAUAAUUAGCGAAGACACUCUUUAUAUAAACAUUAUUGUCAUAGGAUGCCAAACCUAAUAAGAUUCAAGAUCUUAACAUACUUCAUAUGAAAUUUGAUCUUGACGCGUACCGACACGCAUAACAUCAAGACUCUACUUCAUAUAAUGUAACUUCAUGGAUUUUUCGCUCUCUUGUGAAAUUGACAAUUAUGGGCGCUGUGUGGCAGUGGUACAUAAUAAAAUAAACAUUUAUUUUUAGAAUAUUAUUAUUUAUCUCAAUUUUUUAUUUAAUAGUUAAUUUUAAUCAAUUCUUAAACUGUCAUAAUCAAUUAAUUUUUUACAUUAUGGUAUCUUAAAUAAAUUUUGGAUCUGUAAUAAAUAAAAACUGGUAACGUUUGUUCUUUUAAAACAUAAAACAACCGUAACAUUGGUUUUUACAUUUUGAAUUUUUCUUGCAUCACUAUUUAGAAAAAUGAUGUUAAAUCAACUCACAAAAUAUAUCAAGUCAUCUAAAAUCCAAAUAUUAUUACAUUUGUAUUUGUAUUGUUAAAUUGUUGGAACGACGGCAAAGCAAUUGAAAAGAGAUUAACAAAAAAGUAAAGAUUGGCCAAGGAUUAUUCAUGUUUAGGAAAUGCCUUAACUUUUGAUAUAAUCAUUGUUAUAAUUAUAUUGUAGAAAUAAUCAAUUACCUGUGUUUAUGUUGGUCUCCUUUUUUUCCAUUUCUGUACAACGAAAUAUUUGCAUGUUUUGAUAGAAAUUGGUUUAAAUGACAUUUAAAAUUGUAUAUCCCCAGACAAUUAACGAAAUAUUUGGAUGGUAGGAUGAAGUAAUAAAUAGUUUUACAAAUUACCAUAUUAGAGGUAAAAAAAAAUAAAAUCGAGAGGUUACUUGACAAUUAUGACGUUACUAACUACAAAUUUAACACAAAAAGUUUAAUUAACUUUUCUUUUUGAGAUGACAAAAUCUCUGGUGUUGAAAACAAUGAGGUUUGAGGUUCAAGCUUGAAUAUUAAGUUACAAUUAGUAGAUGGUCUUAGGACAUAUCAAAGAUUUCUUUAAAGACAAAAUAAUUAUUAUAAGCAAUAGGAAAUUAUGGUAUUCAGAACAUGUAACCUUCGCACAUGAAGCUUGAAUCCAGAACAAGAUGCAGCUAGCCAAUCCUUCCAACUUCCAAAAACCCACAAAAUCUCUGUCAACAUGUCUGUUCUACUUCAAUAAUAAGCACAUUCAUAGCGGUAUCAACAGCUUACAGCGCCAAAAUAUUUUCCCCAAAAAGAGUGAGAGAUUUCACUGAAGCUAAGUUGUGACUUGUGACUGCCCAAAUGUUCUAUAACACGAUAUGAUUAUUCUAGUAACAUCAACAUUUGCAUCCUUCUGUAUCUGUCUGAGCUCCUGAAGCAUGAUACCCGGUUGCCCAGCAAAAGAUGCAGCUAUCACAAUGAAUAAGGGAACAAAAUAGAUAACAAAGUCACAAAAACAAAGCUAAUCACAAUGAAUGAUAAGGUUUAGAGUAAACAUAAAGUUAUAAUCUUGAACAUAAGUGGCGCUCUUGAGGAAAAAAAAAAUUCAUUCUAACACAACAGAAUAAAUUGUAAAGAAAUCCCAGUUUGUAUAAAAGAAAGAAAACAAAAUUAAGGAAAACAUAAGCACAACAAAAUUUGACUGAUUAUUAAAAAUGAGAAAUGAGUUAUAAUGAGAAUUUUGGCUUUGUGGUGAAAUAAAUUGGGAAGUAUCCAAAGUUCGCAUGUAAAUAAUAUAAAUGAUAAGAAGACGAAGGGAACAAAAUGAUAAUAAGCAAGCCAAAUAUUAAAAUGCAGAUUCUACGCUUCCGCCCCCCCAUACUUCAAGUUAGUGUCUCGCUAAUCAUUUUAGAUGUAUCAAUUACAAAGGGAGGCCAUCUAUUUAUGGUAAGCGUACGCCUCUAAUGCUUUGCCAAGUGUCCAUUGAUAAUAUCACAAGGGCAAUUAAAUUGGUGUAUGUGUAUUACACCUCCUAAAGUCAUGUUAAGAUAGUUAGUGAGCUGAUAAAGUUUGUUGCACGUGUGAGUUGGUUAAGUCUGCUAGAAAUGCAAACGUGUAAAGCUGAGUCAGCAAGUUAGUUAACGUUAUUAUGAAUGCUUAGAUUCAGCCCACGUGUAUUGUAUGUAAUACUUAGAUUCAGGUCACGUAGAUUGUGUAUACAACUUUCUAAUAUGAGUAAUGAUACAGCCACAAACUCUUGUACAAACUUAUUUUAUACAAACUGACGUGAUAUUUAAUUCAAACUGAUGUGGGCCAAGUGAUAUUUAAUUCAACCAAUCUUAUCAUGCCACAUCAGUUUGUACAAAAUAAAUUUGUACAAGAGUUUGUGGCUGUAUCAUUACUCUUCUAAUAUUAUUUAGAUCUCAAUAUAAAUACUUGUAAUCAACAAAUACAAUAAUAAGAGUCAUCAUUCUUCAUUUUCUCUCUGUUUCUCUCAUAUUUUCUCUGCAUCCAAACACAAUAUUCUCAGUUCUUGACUGGUAUUAGAGUCGCAGUUUAAUUGUCCUGGCUUCGUUAAGCACAAAUUCAAACACAAAUCAGUCUCCUUCAUUCUUUACCCUCACAAAUGCGAUCAAAUUGGACAGAUCUUACUAUACGAUCUGGAAAUCUCAGAUCCUCUCUUCAGUGUGUGCCAAUGGACUUGAAGGCUUUCUUAAUGGAACUAAAAUUUGUCCAGAUCAGUUACUUACUCAAGAGAUUGAAAGUUAUGGUGUUGAAAAUGUUGUUGGUGAAAGCUCAGCUGAUAGAUCUCAGGAGAAUCCAGCCUUUGUUGCUUGGAAGAGGUAGGAUCAAUUGUUAUUAAGUUGGCUCAUGUCCUCCAUCAGUGUUGAGAUACUUAAGUCUUGUGGUAAAUUCUGAUUCUUCUCAUAAACUUUGGACUAAUCUUGAAGAAAAUUUUUGGAUUAGAAAAUAUGGCUAAGAAAGCACACUUAAAAAAUGAUGUUAAGCAAUCUCAAAAAGGGAUCAAUGACAAUAACUGAGUAUUUUGCCAAACUUAGAGCUGUAACUAAUAAACUUGCUCUAACUGGUAGACCUGUUUCUACUCUAGACUUUAUUACUCAUCUAAUCUCUAGAUUAGGCCAGCCAUACUACCCUGUUGUUGUGUAUAUUGAAGCUAAUAUGUUGAAAAUAUUUGUCAAUGAAGCCUAUUCUAUGCUUUUAACUCAUGAAGCAAGAAUUAAAUUUAAUCAUCCGAGUGCAAAUAAAGAAGCAAAGUUGAAUUAUGCUGCUAACAUAGCUUUGGCUGGACCUAGUAAUAACAAUAAGAAGUCUAGUAAUCAAGCUAAUUACUAUCAGGGCAACCAAGGUAACUGGAAUAGAAAUGCUAAUUGGUGUGGUAACAAUGGAGGAAGAGGUGGCUUUGGCAGAGGUUUUUCAGGGCAAGGAAGGAGUAAUUAGAAUAAUGGUGGUCAUUGGAACAACGAACCUUGGAGUAGUAGUCGAGCAGGUUAUAAUUGUUCUGAUAUAAACAUUAUGACAUGGUUGUUGGUGAACCUGUAAACAUAACCACAAAAGUAAGAAGGCAUAAUCUUUUUAUAAGAAACUCAAAAAUGUAUUAAUGAUGAAAAUUUUAAAACAGAUAGCUGACCAGCUGUUCACUAAGAAAACAAAAAACUGAAUAUUUGUGCUAUAAAAAGGCACACCCAAUCUCACCCCUAUAAAAGGCUAGAAUCAGCUACAAAUCCCUAUCUCAAAACCCCAUCCCAGUUUAGAUGAAUGAAGAAAAAAGAUGAAUCUUGAAACUCCUUAGAAACUGAAGCCCAAAGUGAAGCAAGAAGAUGAACUCUAUCCCAAGCAAGCAAUAUGGCAUAUUUCUCCAUUAAUGGUUCAAAUAAAGUGAAUGGCUUUCUCUGAUGAAUGGGAAAUUGUCAAGAUCAAUAGUCAAACUCACGCAAAGUAAACGGACUUAAUUCUCAGAGGCUACUCAUUCUAAGUCUUAAAGAAAAAUUUUCUAAUUUCUAAAGAUUAUAUGGGGAAAAAUCAUUAUUUUCUAACAUGGAAAAUUUGAUACGCUGUUUAAUGUCUGAUCACAAUCAUAAUAUGAGUACUAACAAAAACAUCUUUAAUCGGCAUGGUGCGAGUAAAACACCAUCACUUCAUCUUUGAUGGAAAGAUGAUAACAUAAAGAGAUGGUGAAAUGGUUUUGGUCCUUGGCAGCUUGUAAUCAAAAGAAAACAAAAAUCUACACUAUUAUUAAUGAUUACCGAAGCUACAGAAGUAUCAAAAUCGGAAAGUAAACAAUUGCAAAACACAUCAAUGACUGAAGGUUAGGUUCUAAAACUUCCGUAUUUAAUUUUCAAAGCAUGUUAUGUAUUAUUCAGAAAUAUGCUUUCACUUCAGGCACUUGACCAAGACGCAUUAAACAAAAAACGUGGCGUUUUCAUGGACUAGUACAUUCCAUGCUUCGAAAGUUUAUGUUUUAGACUGAUUCGUUUGAUACAUUAUUUGUUUAUUGCGUUUUUCUUGCUUUAAAUAUUAUGUUGGAUUGAUAAGUUUUGUACACAUUUAUAUUGCUCGCAGUAAAUAAUUUAUGACAUUUAAAAAACUAGCAACCGUCUAUCAAAAGAUUUCUACUAUAAAUAUAUAUACACAAAAAACUUUUAAUUUGGUCAAUUUGUUCUCUUAUUUAUUUUUGUUCUAUUUCUCUUUUCCUUUCCUUUCAUUUUAUUGUUUUAUGGUACAAAAUAAAAAAAUAACCUUAAAAUUUAGGGCAAAGCUAUGGUACCACAAUUGUAUGGUACCACAGCUGGAUCCAACCAUUGGAUCUAUCCCACAGUUGUCACCAGAAUUAGAUCCAAAGGCUGGAUCCAGCUGUGGUACCAUACAACUGUGGCACCAUAGUUAGACCCUAAAAUUUAAGGGUAAAAUACUCAUUUUACUAAAAUUCCGUUUAAUAUUAUAAAGCUGUCAAAUGUCAAUGGCAUAGUACACGAGUGAUACAAAUUAAAAACAAUAAAUGGCACCCCGGCUUUCGCAGCGUACUCAAGUGCAGCCACCACUCCAGAAUCUGGUACUGCAAUCACGACAUCACUCAACAGGAGCCUCGGUAGCAAGUACUUCCCCAAAAUGAUACCUCGACUCACAAACAUGUUGAAAAGUCAUGCACAUGACAUUCAAAUUCAAAAAUGCAUGCAAAAUUUCAAAUGGCUACCAAACAUUUGAAGAAAAAAAUGAAAAGUUGGCAAAUUUGUCAAAUUUGAGAAAUGGACACCAUUGACUAUUGGCUUAGGUUAGGUGGAAUAGUAAAGGGGUUGGUGCAAUAGUGCUAUUAUUUUUCCUAUAAAUAGAUGGCACUUAUUCCAUUCUUAAGCAUCCCAAAAUUGUUAAGCUUAUAAGUUUCUAAGAUUUUAAGAGAAGUGAGAGAAGUGUGUCUGUGGAAUUUAUCUUUCCUGCAGAGUGUGAGAGUACUGGGUAUAUUUAGGUUUUUGGGAAGUGAGAUUCGUUACUCAAAUAUUGUACUCUAUUAAUUGUUAAAUAAACAAUUAUUCUUUCUUACCUCCGUGGAUGUAGGUUUAAUUACCAAACUACGUAAUUCUUGUGUCCUUUAUUUUUUUGUAAUUAUUUGGUGCGCUUGAUUCCGCAUUCCGCGCACAACAAGUGGUAUCAGAGCCGACGGUUCGUACUUGGGGAGAUACGGUACUGUUCACGUAUACGGUAUUAUUCCCGUAUACAGUACUAUUCACGAAUACGGCGGAGACGGCCAUUUGUACUUGGGAGACAGUCUAUUAUAAGUAGUGUGUAUUUUUGCAUGUCUAGGAAAGUUUUGUCAACAAAGGCGAUAAGAGUCUAAGGAUUCUGGUUUUUAAUUGGGACCGAGUUCCCGUCCAGUCUCCUGAAAACUUUCCUGGUGCAUUUAUUCACGUGAAAUUAACAUUAUAGAGACUGUUUUUCAAGUGGAAAUAGUUCGUUGAGAAAAUGGUAGAAGGUGAAACUUCCAGAAUUGGGGAGAGAUCUACCGAGACUAUUUCAGGAGACACUUCAGGUGGGAGGCGAGAUUUGUCAAAUCGCUAUUCAGCACCUGUUAUAGGAGGCUAGAAGACCGAUGUUGAAAAGUUUGAUAGGAAAAUCAACUUCGGCAUGUGGAGGCGCGAAGUUAUGGAUGCCCUUAUUCAAAUUGAUCUCGGUGUUGUGUUGUUGAGAAAGAUCGAUACCAAAGAUAAUCCAUCAGAUAUAUUGAUGAAGGUAGUUUCUGGAGUUAAGUUUCAACAUUACUUGAAAUUAAUUCAAAUCCUUCAAUUGUAUUAAGAUAUGUCCUUCGGGAAUUAUGAACUACGGUUGGCUUGAUCCCAAAUUUUGGGUACGUAGGCAGUCGAAUCGACACAGCCAUUCUGGAUCCUUAUUGAAGGAUCACUUUGGGGAUGAGGGUUCAUUGGUAGUUGGCUCAGAUUUGGACAAAUUUUCGUCGAGGUGGAGAAUUGUUGAAAAGUCAUGCACGUGACUUUCAAAUUCAAAAAUGCAUGCAAAAUUUCAAAUUGCUACCAAACAUUUGAAGAAAAAAUGGAAAGUUGGCAAAUUUGUCAAAUUUGCCAAAUGGACACCAUUGACUAUUGGCUUAGGUUAGGUGGAAUAGUAAAGGGGUUGGUGCAAUAGUGCCAUUAUUUUCCCUAUAAAUAGAUGGCACUUCUUCCAUUCUUAAGCAUCCCAAAAUUGUUAAGCUUAUAAGUUUCUAAACUUUUAAGAGAAGUGAGAGAAGUGUGUCUGUGGAAUUUAUCUUUUCUGCAGAGUGUGAGAGUACUGGGUAUAUUUGGGUUUCUGAGAAGUGAGAUUCGUUACUCAAAUAUUGUACUCUAUUAAUUGUUAAAUAAACAAUUAUUCUUUUUUACCUCCGUGGAUGUAGGUUUAAUUACCGAACCACGUAAUUCUUGUGUCCUUUAUUUUUCUGUAAUUAUUUAGUGCGCUUGAUUCCGCAUUCCGCGCACAACAAAACAAACCUUCCAAAAACAACAGAAUUAGGCAAAGCAAAAUAAAUAUGCUCAAAGAUGCACUGCUUAGGUUCAGGGUGAGGCAUCAAACAAGGUGAUUGAACCCCAUCUUUAUCCACCAUCAAAACUUCACCGGGAUAUACCUCUCUCUCUCUCGCUCUCGUAUGUGGCCUCAAUCAAAUAGUGCACAAGUCUCUGACGCAAAAACC
rnacentral:lncRNA from 1 species